GUGAGGAAUAUUGGACAAUGGGCGCAAGCCUGAUCCAGCCAUGCCGCGUGCAGGAAGACGCAUCUAUGGUGUGUAAACUGCUUUUGUACGGGAAGAAACACUCCCUCGUGAGGGAGCUUGACGGUACCGUAAGAAUAAGGAUCGGCUAACUCCGUGCCAGCAGCCGCGGUAAUACGGAGGAUCCAAGCGUUAUCCUGAAUCAUUGGGUUUAAAGGGUCCGUAGGCGGUUUAAUAAGUCAGUGGUGAAAGCCCAUCGCUCAACGAUGGAACGGCCAUUGAUACUGGUAGACUUGAAUUACAAGGAAGUAACUAGAAUAUGUAGUGUAGCGGUGAAAUGCUUAGAUAUUACAUGGAAUACCAAUUGCGAAGGCAGGUUACUACUUGUGGAUUGACGCUGAUGGACGAAAGCGUGGGGAGCGAACAGGAUUAGAAACCCCGGUAGUCC
rnacentral:rRNA from 1 species